rnacentral:rRNA from 1 species
GACGAACGCUGGCGGCGUGCCUAACACAUGCAAGUCGAGCGAAUGAAGUUCCUUCGGGAAUGGAUUUAGCGGCGGACGGGUGAGUAACACGUGGGCAACCUGCCUCAUAGAGGGGAAUAGCCUUCCGAAAGGGAGAUUAAUACCGCAUAGGAUUGUAGUACCGCAUGAUACAGCAAUUAAAGGAGCAAUCCGCUAUGAGAUGGGCCCGCGGCGCAUUAGCUAGUUGGUGAGGUAACGGCUCACCAAGGCGACGAUGCGUAGCCGACCUGAGAGGGUGAUCGGCCACAUUGGGACUGAGACACGGCCCAGACUCCUACGGGAGGCAGCAGUGGGGAAUAUUGCACAAUGGGGGAAACCCUGAUGUAGCAACGCCGCGUGAGUGAUGACGGCCUUCGGGUUGUAAAACUCUGUCUUCAGGGACGAUAAUGACGGUACCUGAGGAGGAAGCCACGGCUAACUACGUGCCAGCCGCCGCCGUAAAAC